ACUCAAAGGAAUAGACGGGGACCCGCACAAGCGGUGGAGCAUGUGGAUUAAUUCGAUACUAACCGAAGAACCUUACCCAGGCUUGACAUCGAGGGAAAGCUCCUGAAAGGGAGUCCUCGGCCACAAGCCGACCCGAAGACACUUGUUGCAUGGCUGUCGUCAGCUCGUGCCGUGAGGUGUACGGUUAAGUCCGCCAACGAGCGCAACCCUCGUCCUGUGUUACCAGCGAGUAAAGUCGGGGACUCACAGGAGACCGCCGGUGUAAGCCGGAGGAAGGUGGGGAUGACGUCAAGUCAGCAUGGCAGUUACGUCUGGGGCUUCACACAUGCUACAAUGGGCGAAACAAAGGGCAGCAACACCGCGAGGUAGAGCGAAUCUCAAAAAUACGCCCCCAGUUCAGAUUGCAGUCUGCAACUCGACUGCAUGAAGGCGGAAUCGCUAGUAAACGCAGGUCAGCUAUACUGCGUUGAAUACGUUCCCGGGUCUUGCACACACCGCCCGU
rnacentral:rRNA from 1 species